UAGCUUGUUUACCUUCAUGGGAUCAAAAAUUGGUUGUCCUUGAUUUUCAAGACCAUUUACAAUUUCUGUAAAACGGCUAAACAUGUCAGUUAUAGAUUCUCCAGGUCUCAUUUUGAAGGCUUCAUAUUGACCGAGAAGGAUGUUGAUUCUGGUCUCUUUUACUCGAUCAGUUCCUUCAUAGGUGAUGUGUAACCUAUCCCAGACUUCUUUUGCUGUAACACAAGAAGAUAUUCUGUUAUAUUCAGUAGGUGACAAGGCACAAUAUAAAGAAUAUAUAGCUUUUGCAUCAAGAGUUUGUCUCUUGAUUAUCUCUUCUUGAGACAUUCCGCUGGUCUCAACAGUUUCUUUCCCUCUUUCUAAGAUGGAUGCAACUUUAGGAGUGAUUCCUUUUUCUACAACGUCCCAUUCCAGAGGAUCCUUUGAUCGAAGAAAUGC
rnacentral:lncRNA from 1 species